rnacentral:rRNA from 1 species
AUUGAACGCUGGCGGCAUGCCUAACACAUGCAAGUCGAACGGCAGCAUGAUAAGAGCUUGCUCUUAUUGAUGGCGAGUGGCGGACGGGUGAGUAAUAUGUAGGAAUCUACCUAGAGGUGCGGGAUAACUUAGGGAAACUUAAGCUAAUACCACAUAAGCCCUACGGGGAAAGCAGGGGAUCUUCGGACCUUGCGCCUUAUGAUGAGCCUACAUCGGAUUAGCUUGUUGGUGGGGUAAAGGCCUACCAAGGCGACGAUCCGUAGCUGGGCUGAGAGGAUGAUCAGCCAGACGGGGACUGAGACACGGCCCAGACUCCUACGGGAGGCAGCAGUGGGGAAUAUUGGACAAUGGGCGAAAGCCUGGUCCAGCAAUGCCGCGUGUGUGAAGAAGGCCUUAGGGUUGUAAAGCACUUUCAGUGGGGAGGAAGUUGUGUGUGCUAAUACCAUAUACAAUUGACGUUACCCACAGAAGAAGCACCGGCUAACUCUGUGCCAGCCGCCGCGGUAA